rnacentral:sRNA from 1 species
GUUGGGCGUGGUGGCGCAUGCCUGUAAUCCUAGCGGCUCGGGAGGCUGAGGAUUGCGAGUUCAAAGCCAGCCUCAG